GACGAACGCUGGCGGCGUGCUUAACACAUGCAAGUCGAACGGAAAGGCCUUUUCGGAGGUACUCGAGUGGCGAACGGGUGAGUAACACGUGGGUGAUCUGCCCUGCACUCUGGGAUAAGCCUGGGAAACUGGGUCUAAUACCGGAUAGGACCGCACUUUAGUGUGUGUGGUGGAAAGUUUUUUCGGUGUAGGAUGAGCCCGCGGCCUAUCAGCUUGUUGGUGGGGUAAUGGCCUACCAAGGCGGCGACGGGUAGCCGGACUGAGAGGUUGGUCGGCCACAUUGGGACUGAGAUACGGCCCAGACUCCUACGGGAGGCAGCAGUGGGGAAUAUUGCACAAUGGGCGCAAGCCUGAUGCAGCGACGCCGCGUGUGGGAGGACGGCCUUCGGGUUGUAAACUCCUUUCGCCAGGGACGAAGCGUUUUGUGACGGUACCUGGAGAAGAAGCCCCGGCUAACUACGUG
rnacentral:rRNA from 1 species